GCAAAAGCUGCCCUAUAAAGCAGCACUGGGAUAACAGCAGCCCAUCUGUCGCUUUCUUGGAUUUGGCUGAAGGGUUCCACUGGAGGCACUGCAGGAAAGGGGCACAAUGCUCAACCUCAGCUCGGCUCUGAGGUUGGAGCAAGGCAUGCAAACAGCAGGGACAACAGGAGGCCUCCAGAACCUGAGGAAAUUUAAUAAUCAGGACUUCGAGCACCUGCGAUCCCUGUGUCUGAGCCAAGGUCUGUUGUUUGAGGAUGACACCUUCCCUGCCGAUAUCAGCUCCAUUGGUCCUAACCUGCUCCCAAAGGAUGAGCUGCAGCAAAUAGUGUGGAAGAGGCCAAAGGAGCUUCUGAGAAACCCCUUUUUGAUAAUGGAUGGAGUUAGCAGAUUUGAUAUUAUUCAAGGAGAAAUAGGUGACUGCUGGAUGCUGGCUGCCCUGGGCUCCCUGACAAUGCAGAAGCGAUUUCUGGAAAAUGUUUUACCAAAGGACCAAGGAUUCCAGAGUGAUUAUGCUGGGAUUUUCCAUUUUCGGUUCUGGCAAUUUGGAGACUGGGUGGAUGUAGUGAUAGAUGACCGGCUGCCUUUCCUAAAUGGCAAUUACCUGUCUGUACACCCUCGAACAUCAAAUGAAUUCUGGCCAUCCUUGCUGGAAAAAGCAUAUGCUAAGCUGCAGGGCUCCUACCAGAACUUGCACGGGGGCUACAUUUCUGAUGCUUUAGUAGACUUCACAGGCGGAGUCCAAAUGCAGUUCUCAUUAAAGGACCCCCCUCCUUAUCUGGAGGACAUUCUGAAAGCUGCUAGCAAAUCUCAGUGUCUGAUGGGAUGUAGCACCUCAGGCCGGAUGAGAAACACAGUAUUAAGGAAUGGGAUUGUGCAAGGUCAUGCAUACACUGUCACAGGAGCCGUGAAGAUACGAUUCAAGAACCACUGGGAACAUAUCAUCAGAGUCUGGAAUCCAUGGGGCCAUGGGGAGUGGAAGGGGCCCUGGAGUGAUGGCUCUCCAGAAUGGGACUACGUUGAGCCUGAAAUUAAGGAAGAGCUUUACAGAAAGAAAAAUGAUGGAGAAUUCUGGAUGUCCUGUGAAAGCUUUCGGGAGCAGUUUUCCUGGCUGUGUGUUUGUAACUGCACCCCAACGUUUCUGGACUUUGGAGAUCAGCACCACACAGGAUGGUCUGUGGACAGGCACAUCAACCUGUGGAGCCCGCUGCUCACUACUGGCAGGAGUGACUAUUCUUCUGCAGGUGCAGUUUCAAAGAACCCUCAGUAUUUCUUCAAAGUAACAAAUUAUGACCCCAAAUCCUACAAUGUGGUCAUUUCACUCAUACAAAAAAAUGCAGAGGGUAUGCAGGAUGCACAAAAAUUGAAGAUUGGCUUCUUUAUCACCAUGGAGAACUCCAAAGUUCUGAAACAAGAUUUCUCCCUUACCCGAGACGUGAGCAGCUGCUUUAAUUUGAGCCCAGGAACUUAUGCUGUCAUUCCUGCUACAACAGAGGACCGAGAAUUUGAAUUUGUCUUACGAAUUUUUGUGAAGAAUCAAGACUACAAUGAGAACGCAAACUCUCAGCUCAACCCAAUGCUGCCAAUGGAUGUACCAAGACAGAAACAGGACAGCUCCUAUAAGGCUAUCUUCCUAAAAUAUGCGAAGCAGGGCUCAGCUAUUGAUGCUUUGCAGUUGCAACAACUUCUUAAUGACAUGGUCCUGCAAGAUGAAAUGACCAGCCUGGGAGGAGAGUUCAGCUUUGAUUCAUGUCGAGCCAUUUUAGCUCUGAUGGAUCUCAAUUCAAAUGGACAACUCACGCUGCAGGAGUUUGGGAGCCUCUGGCGAAGUGUCACCAAGUACAUGGAUCUCUUCAAGAGAGAAGACAGAAAUCGUUCUGGAUUUCUCGAUGUAUCUGAACUGAAGAGUGCGAUACAGACAGCAGGCCUGCCCGUCAAUGAGCAGAUCCUGCGCCUGAUGGCCCUGCGCUACGGCGAUGUGUACAGGAGAAUGGGCUUUGCUGACUUCGUGAGCUGCAUGCUGCGCCUUGAAACCAUGACCUAUGCGUUCCAAAACUUAGCCAAAGGUGGACCACAAGUUUUGAUGACGGUGAUGGAGUGGCUGACUCUUGUCAUGUACAUCUGAAGAGUUGUCAGAGCUCAAUGUGCUGGUGAGAAAUCUCCUUAAUACUGUACACACUGAGAAGGGACUUGCCUUGGACAGCACACCUUCCCUUUGUCACAACAAAGCUGUAUUUUGGUGUAUUCAUGCUGUGUAGAAGCAGGUUAUUAACAACACAGCACCCACCCCUUGCACCACAUGGUGUUAUUAGGUGGCUUUUCUCCAAUUUGGUAUGAGGCACCUUCAGGUCGUCCAUGGGGCUCUAGAAAAACCAAACGCUGGAGGCAUGAAGCUGAGUUUUCUUAUUUGCUUACAUGUCACGGUACUUAAAACUGAAAAAUAUCUGUAAUUUCUCAGUAACCCCCACACAAACUUCACCUCCAUUCUUUAAGCACGAUGAUAAAAGUGAUCUGAUGUUCCAUUCUAUUCAUCUACUGGGGCAAGCCUGGCAUUUUUUUAGUGGUGAGGAUAUCACCUUUUGUAGCACCCUGAGGAAAUGUUAUAUGCUAUAGUUUCAGGGCACCUACCCAGCUCCCUUCCCCAUGGGACAAACUGCCACGUGAGGCUGAUGCUCAUUAAACAAGGAACAUAGACACCCACUUUAGGAAACAGCAUUUCCUCGUUUAAUAUGCCAUAUAUUAGAUUCAGUCCUAUUCAGCUCCAAAUGCCAAGCUGCCACAGAAACACCUAUGAAUCAAAGCUGGUUGUGUGAGGAGAAAGAUUGCUGUGCAAAUAGCAACGUGUGUUUAAAAGGAAUGCAUUUAGGAAAGGAGAUGGGGGAUCUCUUUAGGAGGAACUGUUUGACCAUUCAGGGGAUGAAGGCAUCCCCUGAUGCACUCCCUGUGAACAUUUGUACCUCAAGGCAUACAGCACACCACAGCUCCAGCCCUCUCUUUUAAUGUCAAUUUAAUAGAAGCAAGUGCUAGAGAAGGCAGAUGUCAGCACUCACUCAUCUCUGCUGCCCGGAGGUGGAAGCACGUUGUUGCAGACACUUUUUCAUAGAUAGCAGACACUUUCUAAAGCCAAAGUUCAGAGUAUGGGAUAGAGGAAUUCAGUUUCCAUUAAAUCACAUUAUGAAAAAUCA